rnacentral:rRNA from 1 species
ACCCAAUAGAUACCCAGGUAGUCCCGGCCCUAAACGGUGUGCGUUUGCUGUAGGAGGAAUCGACCCCUUCUGUGGCGAAAGCUAAACGCGAUAAACGCACCGCCUGGGGAGUACGGUCGCAAGAUUAAAACUCAAAGAAAUUGACGGGGGCCUGCACAAGCGGUGGAGUAUGUGGCUUAAUUCGAUGCAACGCGAAGAACCUUACCUGGCCUUGACAUGCAAGUGGUAGGACCAUGAAAGUGGGACGACCCCGCAAGGGGAGCUUGCACAGGUGCUGCAUGGCUGUCGUCAGCUCGUGUCGUGAGAUGUUGGGUUAAGUCCCGCAACGAGCGCAACCCUUGUGUCCUGUUGCCACCCCCACGAGAGUGGGGAGCACUCUGGACAGACUGCCUCGCUUAAACGGGGAGGAAGGUGGGGAUGACGUCAAGUCAGUAUGGCCCUUACGGCCAGGGCUGCACACGUACUACAAUGCCCGGUACAGAGGGAAGCAAGACCGUCAGGUGGAGCAAAUCCCAGAAAACCGGGCCCAGUUCAGAUUGUCGUCU